CUACGGGUUGCAGCAGCUAAGAAUCUUCCGCAAUGGACGAAAGUCUGACGGAGCGAUGCCGCGUGGAUGAAGAAUGCAGAGAUGUUGUAAAAUCCUUUUAUGAGCGAGGAAUAAUAGAUACAGGAAAUGGUAUUUAGAUGACGUUAACUCAUGAAUAAGCUCCGGCCAAUUACGUGCCAGCAGCCGCGGUAACACGUAAGGAGCGAGCGUUGUUCGGAAUUAUUGGGCGUAAAGGGCGUGUAGGCGGUUAGUUAAGUCUUCUUUGAAAGACCGGUGCUCAACACCGGAACCGGGGAGGAAACUGAGUAACUAGAAUCCGGUAGGGAAAUAUGGAAUUUCUGGUGUAGGGGUGAAAUCUGUUGAUAUUAGAAAGAACACCAAUGGCGAAGGCAACAUUUUGGGCCUGGAUUGACGCUGAGGCGCGAAAGCAUAGGGAGCAAACAGGAUUAGAUACCCUGGUAGUC
rnacentral:rRNA from 1 species